AUUUGCCCUAAACACAAUUCAUUAUCUGCUCCGCCUUCCCGCCACUACCGUCUACCAGUCGUCCACCAACACCACGCCACCACGGCUGAUUCUCCGAUCCGGCCGCCGACAUCGCCGCCGGCAGCGUCGGCGGCCACAAACAAGGUGAUCGUUUCACCCCCUACCCGCCAUUCUCUCCACCGCUUGCUGUUCCUAUCGGGACUAGUCGCCCUAACCAACCCAGGCGACUAGUUUUGGACUCCGCCGCAUCACAUUUUGCACGCACGAUCUCUUCCUCUCCUCUCCUUUAAUUUCCCCAAGUCAAACAGUUGUUUAUUGGAUCGAUCGAUCGAUCGGUCAACUCCUACCAGGGCUACCCAACCCAUCCUACCACCGACCUCGAUCCCAAUUGUUUAAAUGUUUAUUAAUCUCCGGAUCAUCCACCAACUUUACUAGAGAAGCCAGAGAGAUUCGGUCGCGGUCCCUUUUCGCGCGCACGCGGGCCAGGCGCGAGGACCACCGAUGCAUCAAAUGUGCUUAAACCAGCAGCGAUGGCGGUUGUUCGGGGAUGCGGGGGCGGGGCGAUUUACUCGGCUGCCCGCGCGCCGCAUGUGCGGAUAGGUGGGUGGAGUUGUGGCGGGCGGGGCGCACGCUAGGUGUUCGAUGUAAUGCGGCAGUAGGGUCAAGCGCGUUCGCGUCCUGGAGAUGGGGGGAGUUGGGGCCUUGGGGGGUUUAUGAAUUGGGUCAUCGUGCUGUAGGUGUAAGGUGUUGUUUAGGUGGGAUAUGCCUCUCACAGCUCCGACGCCUGAUGGGAAGAAUUGAAUAUUGAUGGUGGGUGGUGUAUCAGUUUGAGGCAUGAGGUCGUCAUUCCUUUCUUUGGGAUGGAUUCUAGGCAUGUUAGAGUUCUUCUUUUGAUUAAAAGUUACCUCAAUCCAGACUGGCAUUGAUAGAAAAAGAACGUCGGCUAUUAAAACCUCAUUCCUGGUUUAGUUAUUCUGAGCAAUGUGAAGGACGGUUGUUCUUUCUUAGUGGUCCUAGUCUGUUCAAUGAAGACAUGCCAUUCUAAAGUCACAUUACAUUGUGAAUUCAGCUUUGACCUAGAAUCCUACUAGAUAACUAGUAGUCUAGGACUCUUUUUGGAAGUCACCAGAGCUUCUUUAUUAUUUAUCAAAAAGGUAGAGCUUUGACAGAGAAGUUGAUAGGUUAACUAUAAUCAGUUUGCACUUGAGCAGAAAAACCCACAGAUCCUUUUGGCAGUACCCCGGCCUUUUGAUUUAGGAAAUAGCUUUUCCACAUGGUUGUCAAUUUGAUUGUUUUCUUCAUUAUGUUAUUGUGCACUUCAGCGUGUGCACAUGGAUACACUUGAUGGUACCCCUUUGAAUACCGCUGCAAGCAUUUCUUGUAGCCUGGAGGAUGUGAAACGUUUAUGUUUUUGCUAAUUAUAUAAAACGUUUUUUUUUUCUGAAAACACACACUGUUUGCGCCAGGUUUGAAACUUGGUUUGCGCCAAGAUUGAAGCUUCCAUUAUUCUUUACAAGUACCAAAUACACCAGCUGCUUUCUUGUCAGGUGCUACCAACAUAAGGUUGUUGCACAAUAAUGCACUUCUUUUCUUAUGCUGACGUACCUAUUUUGAAUUUGCUCUUGAAUAUCAUCCUCCAAUAUUAAUCUGCUAUAAUUGCAGGUUGCAGCCACCUUUUUUUUUGUUUGAAACUUUGCAGCCACCUUCAAUAUGGCUAAUUUUUUAAUCUCUAGUACAUGCGAAUAUGAAUGCCAAUAGAAUAGAAGUCUGAAAUAUUCUUGACCAGUUUAAUACUACCAUAAACUGGUACAGUACUAUUCAACUUAUGUACCAUAAUGGCCUUCUAGGUAGUAAUGUUGAGAAGCUAUGCUUAUGGCCAGUACAGAACUCACCAGUCACCAGUAUGUCUUUGGCAUAAUCAAACCAUGGUGCCCACAUUGCUGUAACCAUUCUGAAAUUGCAGAAUUAGCAUAAGGGAGUCUUCUAAGGUUAAGUAGAGUGCCUUGAAUUAUUGAAAGUAACAGAUGGCAUUACGAAUAAAAUUUGUAUCACUGAGUAAUUUGCUAUUUGAUGUGCAUGGCUUUUGUUUGUUUGCAUACCCAUAGCACAGUUGCACACAAAUUACCACGUGUGCUCUGGCUUUUAGGUGAAAAGUUGAAAUAAGAUUAACCUUUUUCUCUCUACUUCUGACCUAUUUAAGGGGUUUGUUUGACUUUAUGGUAUUAACAUGUGAGAACUCUUCGAAUAAGUGUCAGCUUGCCUACCUAGGAAAGUUGUAGCUGAUAAAAAAAUAUUGCAACAUGUCUUAGAAAUGUUGAAUAGUUGUUAAGUAACAGGUUGGUGUAAGACAGGAAAAGAUUACGAUCUUUUGUCUGGAUGUCUGGGUUCCUGGCAACUGAAAAAACAUUUUAAUGGGCCAAGUCCAAUAGGGUAACAAGUUGUGGAGGCCAAUUUUUAGCCCAAAUAGUGUGAUCCUUCAAGUGUCUGCAGAAGUGCAAGAUGCAAACUUCAGAAUUCUGGUAUAGUUGUACCAACUAAUAGGAAGCUUUAUGUUCUCAUGAUUGCAGAACCUGCACCUAUAAUCUGGUAAAUUUCUCACACAUGUUCCUGCUGAAGGUAAAACUUGACGCCUCUUUUAUGCAAAGUUAAAUUUGACUUGUAUUGUGUAAUUUAUCCUUCUCAUUUCAGUAUGCUUCUUUGGAGCCCCUUCCUGUGUUGAGAUGAGAAGCACCUGUUUCAAAGUUGUAUUGUAGAAACUAGAAUCCUAGAGUAUCAUUCCCUUUCUGGUAUUUCCGCAAAUGUACAGAUUUUUAACCUUACUAAUGCUUCAUGCAUGUUCCAUCUUCUUACCAGUCUGGGUUCCUGGCAACUGAAAAAACAUUUUAAUGGGCCAAGUCCAAUCGGGUAACAAGUUGUGGAGGCCAAUUUUAGCCCAAAUAGUGUGAUCCUUCAAGUGUCUGCAAAAGUGCAAGAUGCAAACUUCAGAAUUCUGUUAUAGUUGUACCAACUAAUAGGAAGCUUUAUGUUCUCAUGAUUGCAGAACCUGCACCUAUAAUCUGGUAGAUUUCUCACAUAUGUUCCUGCUGAAGGUAAAACUUGACGCUUCUUUUAUUCAAAGUUAAAUUUGACUUGUAUUGCGUAAUUUAUCCUUCUCAUUUCAGUAUGCUUCUUUGAAGCCCCUACCUGUGUUGAGAUGAGAAGCACCUGUUUCAAAGUUGUAUUGUAGAAACUAGAAUCCUAGAGUAUCAGUCCCUUUCUGGUAUUUCCGCAAAUGCACAGAUUUUUAACCUUACUGAUGCAUCAUGCAUGUUCCAUCUUCAACAUCAUGUUAUCAUGAUCGUGGAGUGGAAUGAUAGAACCAGUCAAGGAUCAUGAUUGGCUCUCAAGUACAAAGAAAUUCAGUUGGAGUUGGCAGGGAAACCAUUCAGUAAUUAUUUAGGAUAAUAUGCCACUUACCGAAGCAAGCUGUUUAUCAAGCUGACACUGUUAUAUAUGUUGAGUUUGACAUAUUUUCUGAUGUUGAGUGAUGGGCAUGAUUGCUCUAGUGGGACUGUGGGAGGGCUCAGGUGCCGGGAUGUAUUGCAGGUGGGGUUGCAAAACUGCACUUGCGGCAGGUCUCUACUGAGUUUAAUGGCCUCCAACCACACUGACGUGAAAAUGGGUUGUUAAUAAGGCAUGUCAGUGAGAUCCUAAAUAUUCUUGAUGACUCCGAAAAGCUGUUGAUCUAAAUUUACUGUAAGAGUUCCAAAAAGCAUGAUUCAGAACAAGUUUGCAUGCAAGGUUGGGAAGCCAAAGCUUAAAGGCUAAAUUUGAACCAGGAUGCUGUGCUUGAAGGACAAUCAUGUGAUUUCUCAAGAGAAACAACUGGUUUCUGCUCAAACUCCGCACAAAAGGUGAAUAGCUAACCUCGUCUACAUUUUCUUCUAAGAUGUGAUAUGACUACCAGUUAUAUUUGCAAAACUAGUACAGAUUUUAACCUCUGCUGCAAUUGAUGCAAUUUAUUUUUUUUAUUACUGACUAGAAAGCUCUGAUGCAAAGUCCUUGUUUGUAACACAUGAAUCUUCCCUAUGUCCUGUGAAAUUUCAGAAUUAGAAACUAUAGUGUUUCAGA